rnacentral:rRNA from 1 species
AUUGAACGCUGGCGGCAGGCCUAACACAUGCAUGUCGAGCGGAUGAAGGGAGCUUGCUCCUGGAUUCAGCGGCGGACGGGUGAGUAAUGCCUAGGAAUCUGCCUGGUAGUGGGGGAUAACGUCCGGAAACGGGCGCUAAUACCGCAUACGUCCUGAGGGAGAAAGUGGGGGAUCUUCGGACCUCACGCUAUCAGAUGAGCCUAGGUCGGAUUAGCUAGUUGGUGGGGUAAAGGCCUACCAUGGCGACGAUCCGUAACUGGUCUGAGAGGAUGAUCAGUCACACUGGAACUGAGACACGGUCCAGACUCCUACGGGAGGCAGCAGUGGGGAAUAUUGGACAAUGGGCGAAAGCCUGAUCCAGCCAUGCCGCGUGUGUGAAGAAGGUCUUCGGAUUGUAAAGCACUUUAAGUUGGGAGGAAGGGCAGUAAGUUAAUACCUUGCUGUUUUGACGUUACCAACAGAAUAAGCACCGGCUAACUUCGUG